rnacentral:rRNA from 1 species
UGGGGGAAGUAUUGCGCAAUGGGCGAAAGCCUGACGCAGCGACGCCGCGUGAGGGAUGAAGGUCUUCGGAUCGUAAACCUCUGUCAGCAGGGAAGAACGGUCACUGUGCUAAUCAGCAGUGAAUUGACGGUACCUGCAAAGGAAGCACCGGCUAACUCCGUGCC